AGAGUUUGAUCCUGGCUCAGAAUCAACGCUGGCGGCGCGCCUAACACAUGCAGGUCGAACGAGAAAGUGGAGCAAUCCAUGAGUAAAGUGGCGUACGGGUGAGUAACACGUGGAUAACCUGCCCCUUUGUGGGGAAUACCGUUGGGAAACCGACGACAAUACCGCAUAAGCUCGAGAGAGGAAAGCAGCAAUGCGCAGAGGGAGGGGUCCGCGGUCGAUUAGCUAGUUGGUGAGGUAAUGGCUCACCAAGGCUGUGAUCGAUAGCCGGCCUGAGAGGGCACACGGCCACACUGGCACUGAAACACGGGCCAGACUCCUACGGGAGGCAGCAGUGGGGAAUCUUGCACAAUGGGGGAAACCCUGAUGCAGCGACGCCGCGUGAGCGAUGAAGCCCUUCGGGGUGUAAAGCUCUUUCGGCAGGGAAGAUUAUGACGGACCUGCAGAAG
rnacentral:rRNA from 1 species